rnacentral:rRNA from 1 species
AUACGUAGGUGGCAAGCGUUGUCCGGAUUUAUUGGGCGUAAAGAGAAUGUAGGCGGUUUAUUAAGUUUGAAGUGAAAGCCCUCGGCUCAACCGAGGAAGUGCUUCGAAAACUGGUAAACUUGAGUGCAGAAGAGGAAAGUGGAACUCCAUGUGUAGCGGUGGAAUGCGUAGAUAUAUGGAAGAACACCAGUGGCGAAGGCGGCUUUCUGGUCUGUAACUGACGCUGAGAUUCGAAAGCAUGGGUAGCAAACAGGAUUAGAUACCCUGGUAGUCCAUGCCGUAAACGAUGAGUGCUAAGUGUUGGAGGGUUUCCGCCCUUCAGUGCUGCAGCUAACGCAUUAAGCACUCCGCCUGGGGAGUACGAUCGCAAGAUUGAA